ensembl:rRNA 5S_rRNA 5S ribosomal RNA
UGCCACAGCCAUAUCACCCUGCAACCCAAGAUCGGUAACUCGCUGAAGCCAAGCAGAGUUGACCUUGGUUAGUAUCUGGAUGGGAGACCACAUGCUAAAACUAGGUUGCUGUUGGAG